rnacentral:lncRNA from 1 species
UUCUAUUAAAGAAUUUCAGGCCAGGCGCAGUGGCUCGCGCCUGUAAUCCCAGCACUUUGGGAGGCCGAGGCAGGUAGAUCACCUGAGGUCAGGAGUUCGAGACUAGCCUGGCCAACAUGGCGAAAACCCCUCUCUACUAAAAAUAUAAAAAAUUACCUGGGCGAAAUGGCACGCGCCUGUAAUCGCAGCUACUCGGGAGGGUGAGGCAGGAGAAUAGCGUGAACCCAGGAGAUGGAGGUUGCAGUGAGCCGAGAUCGCGCCACUCCACUCCGGGCUCGGCGAUACAGCGAGACUCCGUGUCGAAAAAACAAAACAAAACAAAACAUUUCAAACUGAAAUGGGCGGUUAAAAUGCAACUUAAAAUGAGAUGGUGAGUUUAACGCACCACUUUUCCACUAGGUGGUGCUGCAUGUUAAAACUUUCCCUCCAUUUACUCCAAAAUAUUAAUUUCUACAGCAGGAAAACUGACGGCCCCUUGGAAAAGGAAAGAAAAGUCAAUAUGUCACCAAAAAAGACAAUUUAUUAAUAACUCCUCCAAAACCUCUGUGGGUUCCCCUUGGAGUGAAGCGCGAGCAGGGAGCCGCCAUAGGGAGCCAGGCCCGCAGCGCCGUUCGUCCUCAGCACAACGAGCGGCAGCGGGCACCGAAUUGUUCUGCAACUACUUUUCACAUCUGCCUUUUGUAGUUGCUGAACAAAAUUCGUUCCCAUUUGUUUCCGGUUGGCAAGUUCGUAGGCUUCGGCGGAAGUGUAAAGUCAAGGGCAAGUGGCGGAGGCUGCGGCCACCCCGGUCUCUGAGCGGCGCACCGGACAGGUGGUCAGUCCCGGGACGCGGUGACCCGACGCCCGAGCUCCAAGGCUCGGCCCACGCCGGGUUCGCCCCAGUCCCGCUGGUCCCUCAGCCGACGCCGCCGGGCCUCGCACCGCCCCCCGACCCCGGACCCCCACCCACGCGGCCGCUGUGCACUCACCAUGGCCGCUAGCCCUAGGCUCUGGCCUCGCAGCGCCGCCAACAAGCGCCGCGUCGCCCCGAGCGCCCCGAGCACCGCCGCCAUUGGCCGUCUGCCGA